AUUGAACGCUGGCGGCAGGCCUAACACAUGCAAGUCGAGCGGAUGAAGGGAGCUUGCUCCUGGAUUCAGCGGCGGACGGGUGAGUAAUGCCUAGGAAUCUGCCUGGUAGUGGGGGAUAACGUCCGGAAACGGGCGCUAAUACCGCAUACGUCCUGAGGGAGAAAGUGGGGGAUCUUCGGACCUCACGCUAUCAGAUGAGCCUAGGUCGGAUUAGCUAGUUGGUGGGGUAAAGGCCUACCAAGGCGACGAUCCGUAACUGGUCUGAGAGGAUGAUCAGUCACACUGGAACUGAGACGUGGUCCAGACUCCUAGGGGAGGCAGCAGUGGGGAAUAUUGGACAAUAGGCGAAAGCCUGAUCCUACCAUGCCGCGUGUGUGAAGAAGGUCUUCGGAUUGUACAGCACUUCAAGUUGGGAGGAAGGGCAGUAAGUUAAUACCUCGCUGUUUUGACGUUACCAACAGAAUAAGCACCGGCUAACUUCGUG
rnacentral:rRNA from 1 species